rnacentral:rRNA from 1 species
UACAGAGGUCUCAAGCGUUGUUCGGAUUCAUUGGGCGUAAAGGGUGCGUAGGCGGCGCGGUAAGUCGGGUGUGAAAUCUCGGAGCUUAACUCCGAAACUGCAUUCGAUACUGCCGUGCUUGAGGACUGGAGAGGAGACUGGAAUUUACGGUGUAGCGGUGAAAUGCGUAGAUAUCGUAAGGAAGACCAGUGGCGAAGGCGGGUCUCGUGGACAGUUCCUGACGCUGAGCACGAAGGCCAGGGGAGCGAAACGGG